rnacentral:tRNA from 2 species
GUCGGUAGAGCGACGGACUGUUAAUCCGCAGGUCCCUGGUUCGAGCCCAGGUGGGAGAGCCA